rnacentral:rRNA from 1 species
UGCGUAGGCGGUUUGGAAAGUCUGAUGUGAAAGCCUACAGCUUAACUGUAGAACUGCAUUGGAAACUUCCAGACUAGAAUACUGAAGGGGCAGAUGGAAUUAGUGGUGUAGGGGUAAAAUCCGUAGAUAUCACUAGGAAUACCAAAAGCGAAAGCGAUCUGCUGGGAAGUUAUUGACGCUGAGGCACGAAAGCGUGGGGAGCAAACAGGAUUAGAUACCCUGGUAGUCC